rnacentral:tmRNA from 1 species
GGGGGCGACACGGCAUUCGACGUGGGUUACAAAACCUUAGGUGCAUGCCGAGGUGCAGAGUACCUCGUAAAUCCAUCUGCAAAACUAUAGUUGCCAACGACGACAACUACGCACUCGCCGCCUAAGAAACGGUAGAUUGCCGUCUGACUGGAGCCGUGCUUGUGCGUCCAGGUUUCAACUGCCAGCGGUGUUAAAACCAACGGUUGUGGCGAAACACUCAGGUGUCAUCUCUCACAAGAUCGCGAUGAAGCACGUUCGGGGUGGAUUCGUUAAAAACUUACCGAAAUCGCCGCAGU